rnacentral:lncRNA from 1 species
GAGAGAGAGAGAAAAAGAGUGAAAUGCUGAUAGUUAGUACAUUUUAGAGGGUAGAAACAAGUUUUUAAAUAGAUUACAUAUUACAAGGCAAAUAUAAAGUUAGUAGUAUUAUAAGUUAGUUGGAUGGGUGAGGGGACUGAGUUUGAGAAAAAAUUGGAAUAGGUGCUAAGAAUCAUGAGAUUUCUUUAGAAAGGGUGAUUUAAAUAUUCUCAAAUCAGCUUCAAUUAUAAUUACAUGCUGGUGCAUACAGAGUACCACUGAAGUGUGUACUUUCAAUGGGAAAAUGUUACAGUCUAUGAAAUAUAUGGUAGUACUACUUUUUCUUUUAAUUUGGGCUAGAUUAUUAUCCUUGAAGUUUCAGAUAUCAGUUCUAUGCUUUUACCAUGACAUUUGCCAACCCUCAACUUGUUAGCAUACUUCUCCCUCCCUUUUCCCCAAGCUUUCCAAAUUGGUUCAUCCUUUCAUAUUCUUCUGCAGACUGCCACAAGAUGAGAACUGUGAAAAAUACCUCUUUUCCAUCUCAUUGUAAAGGCUCACUCUGUUGGUAUUUAUCUAUGCCAGCUCAGUUUAUAACCUACUGGAUAUUUAGAAUAAAGUAUUUCUAAUUGAGAGGAUUCUGGCCACACAGAAUUGAUCUCCUCUUUAAACACCCAGACUUUGAUUUUAAACUAAAUAUUUUAAUAUUCUAGUGAACUCAAUAUUUAGAAGGCUG